UUCUCAAAGGCAGUUUAACCUCUGCCACCAUUUUUUUUUUCAAAGCUUAAAAAAAAAACAAACGUAGAGCUUUCAAAAGCCGCAGGCUUCUGGGGGUUUCUAGUCAGAAGGUGAUAACACAUCUUGAGACAGGAUAUGUAUAAUUUGGUUUCGCGUUUAUCCUCACAAAGCUAAACAGUAAUGGCUGAGAGCUAUGAAAACACUUAGGCCUUCAGAGGACCCGCUAGGGUCAGCUUCACUGCAGUUUCCCAGUGGCCCUUUGACAGUCUACGAGCCAGCUGGAAAGCAAAGACCACCAUCAAGAAAAGGCCCUGAGCAGCAAACAGAGCCCCACCAUCCAUCCAGAGGUCAGCCUGAAGGAAAGCUACUGCCAGAAGCUCCAGCUACCGGGUCUCAGAGCUACAGGCACUUUUACACAGGGGCAGACAGAGAUAAGGUGGGAGCUGAUGUAUUAUGCCUGGAAGGUACCAAGGAAAUGAUAAUGAUAAUGGAUGUUUCUAUUUGACACUUUGUUGUGUUUUUCUUUUUAAAAGAUUUGAAAUCAUUCGGGACAAUUUCUUAUUUCUAGCAACAGAGUGAUCUGAACCACUGAUUUGCUUGGAAAUCAAGAGAUUCUGUUUAUGGAUCCGUACUUAGGUCUAACAACUCUGUUUCACACUAUGGGCGGGCUUUAGCAGUGCAGUUUCCAGAUAGUAUCUGAAAUUAAAAAAAAAAAAAAAAGGGAGCAGGGGGAGAGAAAAUAAUUUGGGAGUAAUCUGAGCCUCUCGGAAACAGAUAAGAUCCAAGAAACCUCAGUCCCAAAUGACAUGCAGAGCAACUUGUACAUUCAUUUACUGACUCCAAAAUGGUCUCAUUCUUACUGAAUUGGUUUUUGUACUGUUUCUUUUAAAACCUAACCCCCUUAGCUGUUAGCAAUGUAUUUUUAAAUGACAUUAGAGUGCUCUUUUCUAAUUGGUAAAAAGCAACCAUUAUGAGGAUGAGUCACACUCCAGGACCCAGACAUCCACUCAGUGUCCAGUUUCCUCCAGAAACACUGAGGUACGAAAGUGGGUCAGAAGUGCCCAUCAUCCCAGGCAUAUUCCUUCUUGAAUGUUUAAACCAACAUUGUUUUGUACUUAUAAGGAAUUGUUAUACUAAUCAUUUUUUUGCCAAAUUGGCCAUAAUAUAAUCCACCUACCACUGACCAACUACAGAAGAAAAAUUAAACAAAAGUUUUGCUGUUGUUAUCCUUUUUUUUCCUAGGGGUUGAGCUUCUGAAGCCAGGAGGUCACUUGGAUUAUGUAUACAACCUUGGUAAUUGCAUUCCUACAUUCUACAAAAUGCCACAGCUCUCACUACAGUCCAAAAUAGCUGUUGCAAACAAUGACAAUUACUGCCUAGACAUUUUCAAACACAGCAGGUUACUGGCUGAAGCUGUGAUGGAAACCCUAAAAAAUAUAUAAAUAUUUUGAAAUGCUCUGUAAAUCAAACUGAUGCCCCAGACACAGAGUGGAUUGUCUCGAAGCAAACUGAAGUCAUUUGGAGGCUGUGAGGCUUUGUUGAAGGGUGUUGGAAAAUGUUGAGCUUGUUAAUAUUAAGCCCAAAUGUCAUAAUUAAAUGAUUUUUAAGUUUUCUUUCUCUCCGGAAA